UACGGAGGGAGCAAGCGUUACUCGGAAUCACUGGGCGUAAAGCGCACGUAGGCGGCUCGUUAAGUCGGAGGUGAAAUCCUGGAGCUCAACUCCAGAACUGCCUUCGAUACUGGCGAUCUUGGAGUCCGGGAGAGGUGAGUGGAACUCCGAGUGUAGAGGUGAAAUUCGUAGAUAUUCGCAAGAACACCAGUGGCGAAGGCGGCUCACUGGCCCGGUACUGACGCUGAGGUGCGAAAGCGUGGGGAGCAAACAGG
rnacentral:rRNA from 1 species